AGAGUUUGAUCCUGGCUCAGGAUGAACGCUAGCGGCAGGCCUAAUACAUGCAAGACGAACGGUAAGUUGAGUAGCAAUACUUAGCCAAGAGUGUCGUACGGGUGCGUAACACGUAUGCAACCUACCCUAUACAGGAGGAUAGCCUAGGGAAACCUGGAUUAACCCUUCAUAGUAUUAUUGGAUGGCAUCAUUUGAUAAUUAAAACUGAGGUGGUAUAGGAUGGGCAUGCGUCUGAUUAGUUAGUUGGCGGGGUAAUGGCCCACCAAGACGAUGAUCAGUAGGGGGUUCUGAGAGGAAGAUCCCCCACACUGGCACUGAGAUACGGGCCAGACUCCUACGGGAGGCAGCAGUAGGGAAUAUUGGUCAAUGGAUGCAAGUCUGAACCAGCCAUGCCGCGUGCAGGAAGAAGGCCUUCUGGGUUGUAAACUGCUUUUGCCAGGGGAUAAAAUUUCCAUGCGUGGAAAACUGAAGGUACCUGGUGAAUAAGCCACGGCUAACUACGUG
rnacentral:rRNA from 1 species